CCCUACGGGGCGCAGCAGGCGCGAAAACUCUACAAUGCAGGCAACUGCGAUAGGGGAACAUCGAGUGAUACUCAUAUUGGGUGUCUGUCCUCCCGUCUAAAAAACGGGAGUUAGCAAGGGCCGGGCAAGACCGGUGCCAGCCGCCGCGGUAAUACCGGCGGCUCGAGUGGUGGCCGAUAUUAUUGAGUCUAAAGGGUCCGUAGCCGGCUUUGCAAGUCUUUUGGGAAAUCCAGCGGCUUAACCGUUGGUCGUCCGGGAGAUACUACAUUGCUUGGGACUGGGAGAGGUAAGAGGUACUCAGGGGGUAGGAGUGAAAUCCUGUAAUCCA
rnacentral:rRNA from 1 species